rnacentral:rRNA from 1 species
AGAGUUUGAUCAUGGCUCAGAACGUACGCUGGCGGCACGCCUUAUACAUGCAAGUCGAACGAAGUAGCAAUACUUAGUGGCAGACGGGUGAGUAACAUGUAGGUAUCUUCCCUUUGGUGAGGUAUAACACGAGGAAACUUGUGCUAAUACCUCAUAAGUCUUUACGGAGAAAGCUUUAUGCGCCGAAGGAUGAGCUUGCACUUGAUUAGUUUGUUGGUGGGGUAAUGGCCUACCAAGACUUUGAUCUAUAGCUGAUCUGAGAGGAUGAUCAGCCACAUUGGGACUGAGACACGGCCCAAACUCCUACGGGAGGCAGCAGUAGGGAAUAUUGCACAAUGGAGGAAACUCUGAUGCAGCGAUGCCGCGUGAGUGAAGAAGGCCUUUGGGUUGUAAAGCUCUUUCGUCGGGGAAGAAAAUGACUGUACCCGAAUAAGAAGGUCCGGCUAACUUCGUGCCAGCCGCCGCGGUAAUAC